rnacentral:rRNA from 1 species
AUACGUAGGAUCCGAGCGUUAUCCGGAUUUAUUGGGUUUAAAGGGUGCGCAGGCGGCCAUUUAAGUCAGCGGUUAAAGCCUGGGGCUCAACCCCAUUCUGCCGUUGAUACUGGGUGGCUUGAUUGCGGGCGAGGUUGGCGGAAUUCGUUGUGUAGCGGUGAAAUGCAUAGAUAUGAGGAAGAACACCGAUGGCGGAGGCAGCUGACCAGACCGCAAAUGACGCUCAUGCACGAAAGUGCGGGGAUCGAACAGGAUUAGAUACCCUGGUAGUCCACGCAGUAAACGAUGAGUACUGGCUGUUUGCGAUACAAUGUAAGCGGCUGAGCGAAAGCGUUAAGUAAUCCACCUGGGGAGUACGUUCGCAAGAAUGAAACUCAAAGGAAUUGGCGGGG